UUCAAAAAAAUGGAAUAAACAGAAGCAAUCAUGUGAUGAGUAUAUCACCCAAUACACAAUCGAUUACAAAGAAUAUGUAUGAAAUCAUUAACAGAUCUGUAGGUAACCAAUGAUUACGAGACACGGUGAUAGAGGCUCAACGGUUUCUGUACUGUUGCUGCUGAGGUGGAGGGAGACGACCUUCAAUCUCCUGACGUGGCAACUCUGCCACCUUUGCCUUUCCUUUCCUAUUUAAGUAUCCACCAUGUGUGCAUUCUGCUGAUGUGGAUCGUUGACCAUGUACAUCAUCUUCAUUCUUUGACACCAAAUACAUGAAAUAGUUUUUUUUUAUUAUUCUUGCAUGGUUUCUCAAACUAUCAUUUUUCUUACUUUUGCAAACCACCGAAUUGGUGCUCAGUGGCAAACAAUGUUGCUUCCAUUUAUACCCUCAUCAUAUUUUGUUAAUUCUUUUUAUACCUUCACAAUAUUUUUUUUAAUUCCAUUUAAAUUCCUUUUAUACUUCUGCAGGCACCGAAGAAAGACGCCCUAAAAUUGCCCUUCUGCAAUCUUUGGCCGAUCCUACACAUCGUCUUCUACAGUCUCUGUUUGAAGAAACAAGCCCCAAUCCCCAAUCGCCUUCUGUAAUCUUUGGCCGCGCCUCACAAUCGUGCAAGGAAGAAAACAGAAUCAGCUCUGUUUCCUCUGUUUCUCAGUUCGGCUCAUCUGUUCCGCUCGGACGUUUCCGACUCUUCAGGUAAUUAUUUUGCAAUAUCCCAUUCUUUUUG
rnacentral:lncRNA from 1 species